AGUUGUCUGUAGUUGUUUUUUAUUUAAAAUUAUAUCUUGAUAUCACAAUUUUUUGCUAUCUCUGUAGACACUUUUAAGUGGCACUACAAUUAGAGUACCAUCACAGUGGAGAUGAUAUUUAUUUGUUAUUGUCAAAAUGUGGUGCUGUUUGGGGAGAUUGUCAAAAGUAUGUUGUCAUAUAGCGUUGUCAUAUAGCGUAUGUUGUCAUAUCAACAGCUUUGUACCUCUGGCAAUAACAAAGCUAUAUUGUUUUUUAUUUAAGAGUUGUUUUGAUCUCUAUCCACUUGGGGUAAGAUUAUUUGAUUUCACAACAUUACAGCAAAUGUUUCCCGGCAUUACCUGUUUACAUAUUCUGCAGUUCACAGCAGUAAAUUCUGAGUGUGAGAUGCUUUCUUAAAACAAAAAAAAAGGCUCCAGAGUGGUGUCAGGGUAGAUGAGUGGUAGAUGAGGCUCUGGAAAGAUAUCUGUUUAUGUAUUUUAUGCAAGCAAGUAGAAAGCAACAAAUAGGCCGGAAGAAUAGACCAUGAAGCAGCUAGCAUUAUGAACAUGGACAUAUACUCACAAGAAAUUCUCCAGAGUAUCACCUGCUGCAAUCAGAUGUGCAGCUAGUGGGAUAGACUGCAGUAAGUCCAACUUUAAUGUUCCAGACAUUUGCAUCAUCAUAUUCAGCUACUUGGAGAAACUGGGUA